rnacentral:rRNA from 1 species
GGUGGCGAUGGCGGAGGGGUUCCACGCGUACCCAUCCCGAACACGACCGUUAAGCCCUCCAGCGCCGAUGGUACUUGGACCGAAGGGUCCUGGGAGAGUAGGACGUUGCCA